UACGUAGGGAGCAAGCGUUGUCCGGAAUCAUUGGGCGUAAAGCGCGCGUAGGCGGCCCUGUAAGUCCGCUGUGAAAGUCAAAGGCUCAACCUUUGAAAGCCGGUGGAUACUGCAGGGCUAGAGUCCGGUAGGGGAGUAUGGAAUUCCCGGUGUAGCGGUGAAAUGCGCAGAUAUCGGGAGGAACACCAGUGGCGAAGGCGGUACUCUGGGCCGGAACUGACGCUGAGGAGCGAAAGCGUGGGUAGCGAACAGG
rnacentral:rRNA from 1 species